UGAGGAAUAUUGGUCAAUGGGCGUAAGCCUGAACCAGCCAAGUCGCGUGAGGGAUGAAGGAUCUAUGGUUCGUAAACCUCUUUUAUAAGGGAAUAAAGUGCGGGACGUGUCCUGUUUUGUAUGUACCUUAUGAAUAAGGAUCGGCUAACUCCGUGCCAGCAGCCGCGGUAAUACGGAGGAUCCGAGCGUUAUCCGGAUUUAUUGGGUUUAAAGGGUGCGUAGGCGGCCUUUUAAGUCAGCGGUGAAAGUCUGUGGCUCAACCAUAGAAUUGCCGUUGAAACUGGGGGGCUUGAGUAUGUUUGA
rnacentral:rRNA from 1 species